rnacentral:rRNA from 1 species
GAUGAACGCUGGCGGCGUGCCUAAUACAUGCCAGUCGAGCGAACAGACGAGGAGCUUGCUCCUCUGACGUUAGCGGCGGACGGGUGAGUAACACGUGGAUAACCUACCUAUAAGACUGGGAUAACUUCGGGAAACCGGAGCUAAUACCGGAUAAUAUAUUGAACCGCAUGGUUCAAUAGUGAAAGACGGUUUUGCUGUCACUUAUAGAUGGAUCCGCGCCGCAUUAGCUAGUUGGUAAGGUAACGGCUUACCAAGGCAACGAUGCGUAGCCGACCUGAGAGGGUGAUCGGCCACACUGGAACUGAGACACGGUCCAGACUCCUACGGGAGGCAGCAGUAGGGAAUCUUCCGCAAUGGGCGAAAGCCUGACGGAGCAACGCCGCGUGAGUGAUGAAGGUCUUCGGAUCGUAAAACUCUGUUAUUAGGGAAGAACAAAUGAGUAAGUAACUAUGCACGUCUUGACGGUACCUAAUCAGAAAGCCACGGCUAACUACGUG